rnacentral:rRNA from 1 species
UAGGGAAUCUUCCACAAUGGACGAAAGUCUGAUGGAGCAACGCCGCGUGGGUGAAGAAGGGUUUCGGCUCGUAAAACUCUGUUGUUAAAGAAGAACAUAUCUGAGAGUAACUGUUCAGGUAUUGACGGUAUUUAACCAGAAAGCCACGGCUAACUACGUGCCAG